GACCCAGACUCCUACGGGAGGCAGCAGUGGGGAAUAUUGGACAAUGGGGGGAACCCUGAUCCAGCGACGCCGCGUGAGUGAAGAAGUAUUUCGGUAUGUAAAGCUCUAUCAGCAGGGAAGAAAGAAAUGACGGUACCUGACUAAGAAGCCCCGGCUAACUACGUGCCAGCAGCCGCGGUAAUACGUAGGGGGCAAGCGUUAUCCGGAUUUACUGGGUGUAAAGGGGGCGCAGACGGCGAUGCAAGCCAGGAGUGAAAACUCCGGGCUCAACCUGGAGACUGCACUUGAAACUGGGUGUCUUGAGGGCAGGAGAGGAAAGUGGAAUUCCUAGUGUAGCGGUGAAAUGCGUAGAUAUUAGGAGGAACACCAGUGGCGAAGGCGACUAUCUGGCACAUAACUGACGCUGAGGAGCGAAAGCGUGGGUAGCAAACAGGAUUAGAUACCCCAGUAUAA
rnacentral:rRNA from 1 species